GGUCCCUUAUGAGGAAACCAUAUUGUACCUUACAAGAUGGAUACACAUUGCCUGAGUUAAAAGGAAUGAAAAGACAUUGCAAAGGAGGCAAGUUAGCAGGUUGUGGCAUCUUGAAAGGUGCAUAUGGUGAGGGCAUAACGCAAACCAGACAGAAGGACUAUGGCAAUCACUCUACAGCGUCUCUCUCUCUCUCUCACCUGAAUGGCUGUGACCCCGUGGUGAACUAAUUCCUUUGAAACUGCCUUGCAUGUUGUCACGGCCAAUAUCAGUGUGAGAUUGCACAGUGCAGAGUCCGGGUGCUCCUUUCAGCUCACAAUCAGUUGAGAGAAGAAGGCAACAGACAGAGUGAACUUCAGCCUCCAGAACACCUCCAUACACACAUCACCAUCUCAUCAACAAGUUGUCAAGAGGAGGGAGAAUUGUUGGAACUGCCUACAUCAACUGCAGACCCUUUGUGCUUAGCAGGACAGAUGGAGCAGCAAGCAUCUUGCUGUGAGGCACGAGCUGCACAGACCUAGGACUUAGAACAAAGUCAAAGACAUCCCUGACUCUGUGUGGCAUCUGCUCACUUUUUGUCUUUGUCUGAAGCUUGUUCAGGGGUUGUGACCUGGGAAAGAGCUGUUCUACAAAGUUAUAGGCUUGUUCUUAAAACCUUAAUUCAUGAUGUCAAGAAGGCAAGAGCUAUGUCUUUCAUAAAGUAA